rnacentral:rRNA from 1 species
UACGGAGGAUGCAAGCGUUAUCCGGAUUCAUUGGGUUUAAAGGGUGCGUAGGCGGGCUAUUAAGUCAGCGGUGAAAUCCUGCAGCUUAACUGCAGAACUGCCGUUGAUACUGAUAGUCUUGAGUUUGGUUAAGGUAGGCGGAAUGUGUAAUGUAGCGGUGAAAUGCUUAGAUAUUACACAGAACACCAAUUGCGUAGGCAGCUUACUGAGCCGACACUGACGCUGAGGCACGAAAACGUGGGGAUCAAACAGGAUUA